CAUUUUCUUGGGCCAUUCUCAUGGCAUAUGGAGGUUCCCAGGGUGCAGCCCUAAAAAAAAAAAAAAAAAAAAAAACUAGGGGGUGGAGGUGAGGAUUUGUUCUGGGCCCUGCACUGGUCCUGGAGAUGAUCCUGGGCAGAGAGGCACUGGGGGAUCUGAGCAAGCCUGCUCAGGAAUCAGGUCCAGAACUGUGUCCUCUGCGGUUUUCUCCCAUGGAGUUCAGGGCAUUUGGCUUCUUUGAUGAUACUUUGCACAGAACAUUCAGUAGGACGAGACAGUGGGUUUUCCAUGUGGGCUCUGAGGAAAAUGCCAUAUGACUAAUAUAAAAGCUUAGUCUGACCAUAGCACAUUAGAAGUUAGAUUCUAGGGAAAUCAUGUUUGUUCUCUUAAAUAUGGCAAAUCUUCAGCCAAAGGCAGCAAAUGAGGUGCCUGCUCCUUCUCACGAAGGGGAGGUUUGCUCGGGUCACACUGUGAGGCAAAUGUAUGUAGAAUAUUGCUGAUUCAAGCUAAAUUGCUGCUUCAUUAGGGUUAUUUGCUAUUUUAUUUGAAACUUGACUUUCUCACAAAAGCAUAGCAGAGGGGAAAACAUCGUUGCCUGAAGUAAAAAGAGACCUAAGUGCCACCUCUGCACCAAAUAUUCCUGGCCUCACACAUGCUUCCCUCUCUUCUCCCAUGCUUUGCCCUGAUUUGGCUGCACUUCUUUCACAGUUCUAUGAAAGACUCAUUCCUCCAACCAUCUCCUAGAGCCUGUGCCAGGGGCAUUCAUGCUUUAAGAUUGGCAGUGUUGAGACAAAAUCCACAUUUAAGACAGCAAGAUAGCAGCAGACAAUCUUAGUUCCCAUCCAUUGAAUCAUCAAACCUGGAGUCAUAAGAAAAUGGAAAGAUCUAGAAUAUGGAAUUCUGUCCAGUAGACCAAAGCAAUCUGGAUCCCACAGAAAGUUCUGCAAGGAGGGUGAUAAAAGCAACGAAGAUUUACUGUGAGGAUGUGUCCAUUGCUUAUUUCCAGCCCUACAGAGCAGCACCCUGGCAUUUCUGGGAAUAGCCUCAGAUUUUGCUCCCUGAAGGAUGCACACACAUCACACUGAGCCACAUUUGUGAAUUCAAAGUGUUAAUCUGUCAGCCAUGUUUUGGAACAAACUUGGGUGUCUCCACUGCCUCAAAAUGGUAGUAUCUGGUAAAAAUCAGAUAUAAACCACUUAAUAGGGCAAUUUACUGUAAGAUACAUUGUUUCAGUGGCUUGUGUGCACUCCAACCAUAACAAUGGGGUACCAGAAGGUCAAAGAAGUGAGAUAUCUAUUUCUAAACCAUCACUCUACUCCUGCAUCUUCAAGGAUAUGGGUACCACUAUCCACUUCUUACAAUAACAAAGAUCUUCACUGGAUUGAAAAGCUAUGAUUCACUUCUAUAGCUGUAGUCUCUUCCACUGGGGCCAAAGUCACACCAAAUAACAGGAAGAUGCCACUUCCACUCUUGUAGUUACUGAAUCUCUUUUCUCUCACGAGGAACAGAUGACAACUCAUGCUCCCUCGCUCCACCUAUAGGUGGCAGAGAGUCAAACCUGUGUGGAAUAGCUCUAGCACCCCCAUCCCCCUUGGUUAAAAUAGACAAGGACAGUGGCUCAAAUGCUUAGCUGCAUCAGAAUCCCCUGGAAGACUUGUUAUACCACAGGGUGCUGGGCCCUGCCACAGAGUUUCUAAUCAGUAUGUCUAGGGUGGGGCUGAAAACGAACAUUUCUAACAAGUUCCCAGAAGAUGCUGAUGGUUGAUGGUCUGGGCACUGUAUUUUGAAACCACUGUGGUAGGUUAUGCUGCAGUAAUAAGUGACCCCCAAAUAUCGGGUUUAUCUUCCAUGUAUGUCUCAGGCCUGACUCAAGGCAGCUAUAGCUCUACUCUGGGUCGUCCUCUCCAGGACCUAGGGAUGGGACAGCCUCUGAUGGGAACAUUGCCAGUCCUGUGGCAGAGGGCAAAGAGGAUGUGGCAAACUACUGGUUGGCUUGUAAAGUUUUGGCUUAUGUUUCACUGGUUGAAGUCAGUCAUGUGGCCAAAUUUGAUGUCAGUGGCAAAUGAGGGACUGGACAAUUUUGUGAAUAAUUACAUCAUUUACCACACCCCCAAUGUCUGUUAUCUCCUUCUCCUGUAGAAAAUGAGCUGGUUUCGACUGGACACAUGGCUGCCUUGAAAUAAAGACUGAAUGUCUCGGUAUUCUCCUGCAGGAAAGUAUUGACCAAUACCAACUAUAAACAAGGGGAUGUAAGUAGCAUGGUGGAUAGUCAUUCCAGAAACUUCCCUGAGAGUACCCGAGUUGCUCUUUGUCUCUCCUCUUUUUUUUUUUCCCACUCUUCUUCCAUCUUCUUGUCUACAGUGCUGAUGCUAGCAUUUUGGAGCAUGAUGUCAAGGCCAUGCCUCUAAUAGAAAAAAUAUAAGGUGUAUAGAGCACCAUAUCACCUAUCCACACUGGUAGAUGAGAGAGAAAUAAAAUUCUAUCUUAUUUAAACCACUAUUAUCUUGGGUUUUCUGUCACUCAUAUCUGAAUAUAAUCCUAAGUAAUAUACGCUAAGAAGGCUUUCUUUUGAAGUCUGCUCACUUCCGUCUGCUGCUUCUUGUGUCCCACUCAUCCAUCAUCAUUGGUGAUUUUCUGAGCUUCGGAACCUAUUUUUUUCCCUUCACUCUAUUUCCCCUCAUUCUUAGCAACACAGUGAGAAUGUCUACAGAAGGAGGUCAACUAUAGUUUCAUUCUUUCUAGGAACAUAGACUAGACAGUCGAUACACAGAAUCCGAUGGUGGGGAAAGUGACCACAAAAAGGAAAAGCUUAUCUAGCUAGAUCUUGCCUAAGGAACUUCCAAAAUAGUCUUUAUUGCAUGGUAACAAAGAUGAAAAUGUCCUCCUUUGCUGCCAAAACCCCCCCUGCAAUUUGGGAACAUUUCUGAUGUCUGAGUUUUUGUGAUUUGCCUGCCGCUUGAUCUCUUACCUGCCCACAAGGAGAAAGGACGACGAAGCAUAAAUGUUUAAAGAGGAUUGUUCGUGGCCCGUGGUGUCCAUGCUUCUCUCCUCUUCCUUCUCUCCUCUCUUCUCUGCCUCCCUAUCCCCUUCUCUGUGCUCUUUGUCAAGUCUUUUCCCACCCUGCCUGUUUUUGGCAUCUUCACAGUCAUGGUCUCUUGUCCACGUCUCCCCACAGACUGAGGGAGCAGCUGGAGAAGAGGAAAGAGGGGAGUGAGAACAAAAGGGAAAAGGCUGGAAAGGGGGACAGAGAGGAAGCAAGUGGGAGAGCUUACUUAAGAAGCUUAAGAAGCCCUUCCUGAAGCAAAGCCAGAGCCAUGCAUGUCCAAGGCUUCCCCAGGACACAGUAAAGAGCUUAGGAAAGUAAUCCAGCUGUUUUCAUCAAUGCACAGAAAUAAGCUACCACGUUAGUUACACAAACUGGUUUGUGAACCAUAAAUAUGUACAUAUUUGUCAACUUUUUUUUUUUGAUAUUUUUGCCAUUUCUCGGGCUGCUCCUGCGGCAUAUGGAGGUUCCCAGGCUAGGGGUCGAAUCGGAGAUGUAGUCACCGGCCUACGCCAUAGCAACAUGGGAUCCGAGCCAUGUCUGUGACCUACACCACAGCUCCCGGCAACGCCGGAUCGUUAACCCACUGAGCAAGGCCAGGGAUUGGACCCGCAACCUCAUGGUUCCCAGCCGGAUUCGUUAACCACUGAGCCACGAUGGGAACUCCCAUAUCUGUCAACUUUUAAGAGUGUUUCUCCUCUGAUGGAGAACCAUUUGUUGGGGGCAUUUUACAUGCAGAAUCUAUUGCACUAGACAUCAUCAGUCAUCUAAUAAAACAGAAUUUCCCAAGGGGACAAUGCCUGUAUUUCUCAAAAACAAACAAACAAAAACUAGUUUUCAUUAUCAAAUAGGUAUGAGAAACACUGCCUACCAGGUUCUACUGGAAGUUCACAAUGUAUGUUAACAUACUAAAAGCUCUAAGAAUAUCUGGAAUAAAGAAGCCCAUUUUUUUUCUUCACAUCCAAGCUUGCUGAAUUAUAGAAUCCCUUUUCUGAGUAUAAGAUCUAUUAACAUCUUAUGAAAUGCAUCCUGAAACACAGGUUGGGAAACUGUCUCAAAAGAAUAAAAAUGUUAUGUGCUACAUGCUGCAUUAUUUUUUGUAAAAGGAGUUACUGCCCCCUGCACACUUGUGAAUAUUCAUAACCUAUCGACAUUUUGGUG
rnacentral:lncRNA from 1 species